rnacentral:pre_miRNA from 1 species
GGCUUGUUUCGAGUUGCCUGCGUUUGUUUGUUUUUGGGGACACAGGCAGCUAAAGCAAGCCUG